rnacentral:rRNA from 1 species
UAGGAAUCUCCACAAUGGACGCAAGUCUGAUGGAGCAACGCCGCGUGAGUGAAGAAGGUUUUCGGACCGUAAAGCUCUGUUGUUGGUGAAGAAGGAUAGAGGUAGUAACUGGCCUUUAUUUGACGGUAAUCAACCAGAAAGUCACGGCUAACUACGUGCCAGCAGCCGCGGUAAUCGUAGGUGGCAAGCGUUGUCCGGAUUUAUUGGGCGUAAAGCGAGCGCAGGCGGAAGAAUAAGUCUGAUGUGAAAGCCCUCGGCUUAACCGAGGAAUUGCAUCGGAAACUGUUUUCUUGAGUGCAGAAGAGGAGAGUAGAACUCCAUGUGUAGCGGUGGAAUGCGUAGAUAUAUGGAAGAAUACCAGUGGCGAAGGCGGCUCUCUGGUCUGCAACUGACGCUGAGGCUCGAAAGCAUGGGUAGCGAACAGGAUUAGAUACCCUGGUAGUCCAUGCCGUAAACGAUGAGUGCUAAGUGUU